rnacentral:rRNA from 1 species
UGGGGAAUAUUGGACAAUGGGGGCAACCCUGAUCCAGCAAUACCGCGUGAGUGAAGAAGGCCUUCGGGUUGUAAAGCUCUUUUACCGGGGAAGAUAAUGACGGUACCCGGGGAAUAAGCUCCGGCUAGCUUCGUGCCAGCAGCCGCGGUAAUACGAAGGGAGCUAGCGUUGUUCGGAAUUACUGGGCGUAAAGGGCGCGUAGGCGGUUUUGUAAGUCAGAUGUGAAAGCCCCGGGCUUAACCUGGGAACUGCAUUUGAGACUGCAAGACUAGAGAUCGAGAGAGGAAAGUGGAAUUACGCGUGUAGCAGUGAAAUUCGUAGAUAUUCGUAGGAACACCGGUGGCGAAGGCGACUUUCUGGCUCGACCCUGACGCUAAA